rnacentral:rRNA from 1 species
GGAUUAGAUACCCUGGUAGUCCACGCCGUAAACGCUGAGAACUAGACGUUGGCUGACAUAGUCGGCCAGUGUCGCAGCUAACGCGUUAAGUUCUCCGCCUGGGGAGUACGGCCGCAAGGUUGAAACUCAAAGGAAUUGACGGGGGCCCGCACAAGCGGUGGAGCAUGUGGUUUAAUUCGAUGCAACGCGAAGAACCUUACCUGCCCUUGACUUCCUGUGAACCUCUUGGAGACGAGAGGGUGCUUUCGAGAACACAGUGACAGGUGCUGCAUGGCUGUCGUCAGCUCGUGCCG